CGGAAUUGAAGGCUGAAAUUCGCCUUCAUGAAGCUGGAAUUGCUGUAAUGGCAGGUCAGCAUACUGCCGUGAAUACGUUCCCGGGCCUUGUACACACCGCCCGUCACACCAUGAGAGUUGGGAAUACCCGAAGCCUGUGAGCUAACUUUUAGAGGCAGCAGUCGAAGGUAGAAUCAAUGAUUGGGGUGAAGUCGUAACAAGGUACC
rnacentral:rRNA from 1 species